rnacentral:tRNA from 1 species
UCCCUGGUGGCUCAGCUGGUAAAGAACCCGCCUACAAUGCGGGAGACCUGGGUUCGACCCCUGGUUGGGAAG